rnacentral:rRNA from 1 species
UACGUAGGGUGCAAGCGUUGUCCGGAAUUAUUGGGCGUAAAGAGCUCGUAGGCGGUUCGUCGCGUCGGCUGUGAAAACCCGGAGCUCAACUCCGGGCCUGCAGUCGAUACGGGCGGACUUGAGUGUUGCAGGGGAGACUGGAAUUCCUGGUGUAGCGGUGAAAUGCGCAGAUAUCGGGAGGAACACCAGUGGCGAAGGCGACUACCUGGCCUGUUUCUUGACGCUGAGGCGCGAAAGCUAGGGGAGCAAACGGGG